rnacentral:lncRNA from 1 species
GCUGCUGCUGUUGCUGCUGCGACGCCGAGGACGAGCCGGCGGUCAGGCCGUCCAGCACCUUCCUGAUGUUGAAUUUCCUCAUGGUCUCGGAGGGGCUCCCCCGCAGCCCGGGAGGGGAGGCACAGGGGGUCCCCGGGCGGGGGAGACCACCCGGGGCCGAAGGCAGCUUCGACCGCGGAAACGGAGGAGUGGGAGUGUGAGGAGAAAUAUGCAAUGAUGACAUUUCCAAGAAGUGAUGGCAUCUGGCGCUAAGGACAAAGAAUGGGAUUUUGCCACAGGGAUCUUAUUCUCCCACAUGUUCUGUCUGAAGGAGAAAGUUAUCUGAGGCCUUAUAUGAUGCAAAACUUUGGACUCAAAGAAAUUAAAUCACUUGCCCAAGGUUACAUAGCUGCCACCCAGGAGCUUACAAUUUAUGUGAGGAAACAGAUUGUAUACAUAUACAGAUAAUUAAAAAUAUAUAUGCCCCUGGCAAACACCAUUCUACUUUCCGUCUCUAUGAAUUUGACUACUCGAAGUACCUCAUGUGAAAUGUUGGUGCCAAAUGAACUUUUCUGGUUCUUCUGAAUAUGCCACUGUUGCUGGAGAAAUGUCACUGCUAGAGAACAGAAGACUAUUAUUCCAAAGGGUAUUUGAGACUGACUGAAUCAGGUCUGGAACAUUAUUGAAAUGAGACCCACAAAAGAAGAGAUACUGAGGUGGUGACCAGAUGGAUAUAAACGGGCUGUGGAAAAAGAGAAUGCAUGGCCAAAAAUGGUGGUGCUCUCUGUCCAAAAACUGAGGCCCUAUGACCAUGAAUGAAGCCAGAGGGCAGGUAGGAAUAGAUCAUUUGCUCCAGAAGAAGCUGGUUGCCAUGUCUUGAGGACAGUAAACCCUCUGGGGAGGUUCCUGUGGUAAGGAACAAGGGCUCCUGGCAAUAGCCUCUGAGUGAGCCACCUUGAAAAUGGAUUGUCCAGCCCCAGUCAAGCUUUCAGAUGACUGUAGCUCCUGCCAAUGUCUUCACCACAACCUCAUGAGAUCCCAAGCUACAACCACUCAGUUAAGUUAUGCCAAAAUUCCUGAUUCACAGAAAUUGACAUACAGGAGAGGUCACAGUUAAGAUCUUGAUGUUCUAUCUUGACCCAUAAUAUAGGAACUUCAUCUUUUGGGAAGCACCAGGGAGAGCUGCCUGUGCCUGGCAGAAGCUGCCCAUGCCCCACUGAUACCCCACAGUACUUCCUGUUCUGCUUAGUACUCCUGCUUCUUUCUACAAACAACUGUGAUUCUCUACCUGGGAGCUUCCUCUGGCCACAGGAGCCUGCUCACCUGAUUGGGACACCCUAGCAGUACUGGCUCAUAGAUGGAAGGGACUUGCCUUGUCGCUGAUGAGACUUUCGACUUGGACUUUUGAGUCAAUGCUGGAAUGAGUUAAGACUUUGGGGAACUGUUGGAAGGGUGUGAUUGUGUUUUGAAUUGUGAGGACAUGAGAUUUUGAAGAGGCUAAUGGCAGCGUCCCCACCUAAAUCUCUUCUUGAAUUGUAGUUCCCAUAAUCCCCACGUGUCGUGGGGUGGAGCCGGUGGAGAUAAUUGAAUCAUGGGAACACUUUCCCCCAUGCUGUUAUUGUGAUUGUGAAUUCUCACGAGAUCUGAUGGUUGUAUAAACGCCUUCCCUCUUCGCUGGGCACUCAUUUUUCUCCUUCCUGCCACCAUGUGAAGAAGGAUAUGCUUGCUUCUUGUGCCAUGAUUACAAGAACACACUCAGAAAUUUUCUCAACACAGUUUCUAUGCAGAGAAGAGAUGUGGGACAGAUUUGAACUGCUGUCAUAUUUGUAUGAACCCAAGACAUUUUCCAAGACCAAGAGGGAUAAAGACAGCAAUUUCUAUGACUGGCAUUUUACGUGCAUGCACUGUUUCCAAGUGUUCUUGUGUUCUGUGCCUUAAACAUUCUGUGUUGCAACUUUAUGAAUUGAAUUAAAGAUAAUCCCAAGCCCCCAAUUGUCUCAAAAAGUGAAAAAGUAAAUGUUAUAGAAAGAAAAGCGGGAAAAACUUUAAGCAUGAAAUAAAAGAUGGGUUGUGAUAAAAGAGGACUGAAGAAGGAAAAGGAAUGAAAGGUUCUGCCAUCCUUCAUGGCAGCCCACUCCACUUGGUAUGAGAUACUGCUCCCUUGGCUGAAAGUUAACUGCUGUACUCCCUCCACUUUCUAUAAAUGACUCCCUGUGCCUUUCCUUCACCACACAACUCACACUCUCUUCCUUCCUAGUGAGUCCACUAAGGCUUCACUGCAUUAUUACAUUUAUUUCAUUUAGGAAAAACUGACUUUAUUUUCCUUCAAAUUGUUUUUUAUUGUUUAUAUGAGCUUGGUUUUAUUGUCAUUCUAUUUUUCUCCAUGAAAAUAGAGAAAAAUAGGGUCGAAAGGUUAGGUUGGGUGGAAAGGAAUUAUAUUUUUUCUCACUAAAAUUGAUGUAAAUAUCGUUUUCAAUUGAAUGAUUUUACACAGUGGCACAGUUUCAGGUAUGUUGCUAAGCAGGAAAGUUGUUAACCAAAGCAUGAAUGUAUUAAGGAGAUGUAUGCAGAAUGACAUGCAAGGUUAUCUAUGAUUGCUGAGUGAGAAAGAGCAAGUUGCUGAGUAUUAUAUAAGUAUGAUCUCACUUUUGUAAAAAAAAAAAAAAAAAAAGGCCUGGACUGAUCUGAAAUGACCCUAUUAAUAACAAUUAUGUCCAGGUCUGUAUUGCAUACUUGUCAUUCAUUACAGGAUCUUGAGACACAAUGCAAAGGAUCACAUCGCAGCUCUGUAACUUGUUAACUAUAAGAUUUUGAGUAACAUAACACCUUACUCCUUAAAAUUGCUUAAAAAAAAUCUGAACAUCAGGAAUAUUCUACUUCACAGGGUCGUUGUGAUAAUUAAAUGUAGUAAUCAAUGACAAUAGUGCCAGAUACAGUAGAUAGCCUACACUUUGCAGCUACUAUUUCUAUCUAUCAUCCAUCUAUUAAUAUAUAUCAUCUAUCUUUAACUUAUCAUCUAUCUUGUUCCAGUUUUUUAAAAUGAACAUGUAUUAACUUUGUAAAAAAUUAAGGCUAUAAGAUGUGCUGAGCUUUUGGAAUAGAUUUUCCUGUACUAUAUAUGACUGCCAGUGGGAGAAUUUGAAUAAAUGUGUAAAUUUGACUAAAUCUGAAUAAAUGUUCAUUU